GCCGCGCCGCUGAGAAAAAGCGAAGCGGCACUGCUCUUUAACAAUUUAUCAGACAAUCUGUGUGGGUGUAGACCUGGCGUGUGGC
rnacentral:misc_RNA from 1 species